rnacentral:misc_RNA from 1 species
GGUAUAGCCUCGUGGUACGAUUACGAGAACAACAAGUUCAAGCCCACCUGGUCCAUCUUCACAACCAAGGAAACCUCCAAGUCAGUCAAGACCCUCAGUGAGAAGGAAUAGAUUCCAGCUGUGUCGAGUGUAUUUAAUUUUAUUGAGAGAGGCGUCCAUGUCCAAAUCAGAUAUCAUUCAAGAGACAGAGACUUUGAUCUUAUAACAGUGUUUUCAAUAAACUGAUAAAAAAUUGUG